ensembl:lncRNA
CUUUCAUUUAACACACGUUUAUGAAUCGCUAUUCUAAAUUAAAUAAGAUUUUCCUCUAACGCCAUGUAACAACGAGCGCACACCUCAUAUAGUGUAGUUUCACAAUACUCAAUAGCGCUAUUCUAGGCUACUGAUCUACCUACUGAGUGCGCGAGAGCAUCGCGCGUGGAGGAUGAUAGUUGGUGAUAACCACACAUUUUGAAAUCCAACGGUCAUCUCGACUUUCUUCCCACUCCAAGUUUUGUUGUUCGACCUCUCGGUCCUUUAGCUAUAGCACCAGACGAAAAAACGUGGAAUACUAAAGGGCUAAAGCUGGCAUCUUUGGAUGAGGGUGGGAAUAUGAAGAUAUUACCCUCUAGUGGUGACCUGGAGCCUCUGAUCCAGGAGAGCCAGGCUGUGCUGGAAGACUACUCAGAUGCUUUGGAGUACUCCCAAGGCCUGCUCAACCCUGACCAACACCAGGCCGACCCAGUUAACUAAUUACCUGUUUUAAGAUCACUGAUAUCCAGGAUGAGACCUGGAGCACCUAUUUAGAUGUGUGCCAACGGCUUAACAAAGUCUGCCGUGGAAGGCAGUCCUACAUGAUAAGUGGGGUGACUGUCUCCGGGGCCACCAUACAGCAGGGAAAUGAGGCCCUACUAGGGAUCCCUAAACACUUGUGGUUGGCUUACUGGUGCCCACGGUUUGACCAUAACUCACCCUACGAGGUGCGUUUCGUGUUCCCCAGCUAUGGGGCCUAUGCACUGAAUGAACAGGAGGGUCAUGAGGUCAUUGAGGUGCUUUCUGAAAAAACACACAGAGUAAUUUGUUCUAGAAGUAAUCUUCUACAAGGACUGUGUGCCAGAAAACAUCAUUAAAAAUGGUGAACAUCAUUAUUAGUUUUUUCAUUGGAAACUGUAGAUAUCCUGCACAAACAGCCGAACAGAAGAUCUCUUGUCUGAUUAAUGUGUCAAAUGUGACAAACCACAACUUGUUUUCACACCCCACAGAAACACUCUGUACAAACAUUACUACAUGCAACCCACAGGAAAGGAUUACAACUUAAUGUUAGUCCCAAAGUACGCUACAACUGACAUGUUGUAACAUCAUAAAAGAGAUGAUGCUCAGUGUAGUUUACAGCCAUUAUUUGCAUGGAAUAUGUGAUUUUACACAGUGUAAAAACAAUAGUGAAGGCAUGGUGCAUGUGUUGGCCAGGACAGAUAUUAUAAUUACACCAAAGUAUUGGCCACGCCUCGCAUGUCUUUUAAUUUUAAACGUUUUUCUCUUUCAUUCCUGUCAGC